UAGGGAAUCUUCCGCAAUGGGCGAAAGCCUGACGGAGCAACGCCGCGUGAGUGAUGAAGGUCUUCGGAUCGUAAAACUCUGUUAUUAGGGAAGAAUAAAUGUGUAAGUAACUAUGCACGUCUUGACGGUACCUAAUCAGAAAGCCACGGCUAACUACGUGCCAGCAGCCGCGGUAAUACGUAGGUGGCAAGCGUUAUCCGGAAUUAUUGGGCGUAAAGCGAGCGCAGGCGGUUAGAAAAGUCUGAAGUGAAAGGCAGUGGCUCAACCAUUGUAGGCUUUGGAAACUGUUUAACUUGAGUGCAGAAGGGGAGAGUGGAAUUCCAUGUGUAGCGGUGAAAUGCGUAGAUAUAUGGAGGAACACCGGUGGCGAAAGCGGCUCUCUGGUCUGUAACUGACGCUGAGGCUCGAAAGCGUGGGGAGCGAACAGG
rnacentral:rRNA from 1 species